rnacentral:misc_RNA from 1 species
UACGUAGGUGGCAAGCGUUGUCCGGAAUUAUUGGGCGUAAAGCGCGCGCAGGCGGCGAUGUCAGUCGGAUGUGUAAGCCCGGGGCUCAACCCCGGUGAGCAUUCGAAACUGCAUGGCUUGAGUGCAGGAGAGGAGAGUGGAAUUCCACGUGUAGCGGUGAAAUGCGUAGAGAUGUGGAGGAACACCAGUGGCGAAGGCGACUCUCUGGGCUGUCACUGACGCUGAGGCGCGAAAGCGUGGGGAGCAAACAGG